rnacentral:tRNA from 1 species
GGAGAUGUAGCUCAGUCAGUGGAGCGUUUGUCUAACAUGCAGGAAGCCCAGAGUUCAAUCCCUAGCAGCUCUU